GCUGUGCCUGUGGCAUAUGGAAGUUCCCAGGCUAGGGUUGGAAUCUGAGCUUCAGCAGCAGACCUACACCACAGCCACAGCAGCACCAGAUCCGAGCCACAUCUGCCACCUAUGCUGCAGCUGGAGGUGAUGCCGGAUCCUUAACUCACUGAGCGAAGCUAGGGAUUGAACCCGCAUCCUCCCAGACACUAUGUUGGGUUCUUAACCCACAGAGACAGAACGGGAACUUCAAAGAAUAAAAUCUUGAUAGAUGCUACAACAUGCUAAGUGAAAGAAGCUAGAUACAAAAUGCCAAACAUACAGUAUUUAAUUCUAUUUAUAUGAAGUGUCCUGAAUAGGCAAAUCCACAGAGACAGGAAAUAGAUUAGUAGUUGCCAGGGGCUGGAGGAACGGAGUGACUUCUAAUGAGUACAGUUUUCUUUUGGGGCUGAUAAAAAUGUUCUGGAAUUACACAGUAGUGAUCAGUACACAAUCUUGUGACUAACUAAAAGCCACUGAAUGGUACACUUUAGAUAGGUCAAUUUCAUAGUAUGCCAAUUAUAUUUCAAUAAAAAUAUAUGAGAAAAAAAGAUACAUCAAAAAAAAAACACCAACAGAAAAAACAGCAUUAGGUAUUAAUAACUGCAAUUAGAGGGUCCAGAAGUCAAAUCACAGAUUCUAAAUAUAAAGAAUUAUAUAGCCAGCGAUUUUAGCAGCUUAUAUAUUUUUCCAUUUCACCAGUUCCCUGUAUAGCGUAUCCAUUCACUCAUAGACUCUAAAAAUUGUAAUUGUCACUUACUUAUUGUAUGUUUGUACUUUAAUCUUUCAAUUUAUUUAUUUAUUUUUUGUCUUUUGUCUUUUUAGGGCCGCACCCUCGGCAUAUAGAGGUUCCCAGGCUAGGGGUCCAAUCAGAGCUACGGCUGCCAGCUACAGCACCGCCACAGCAACACCAGAUUCGAGCCCUGUCUUCGACGUACACCACAGCUCAUGGCAACACUGGAUCCUUAACCCACUGAGCCAGGCCAGGGAUCAAACCUGAAACCUCAUAGUUCCUAGUUGGACUUGCCUCUGCUGCGUCAUGACGGGGACCCCUAAUCUUUCAAUUUUUAAAGAGAAUUUCUAUUUGUUUAUAGUGCUCAUAAUUUAGCUCAUUCAAUGAAAAUAAAAACCUACAUACACUAUUUUAAGUUAAAUUCAAAUGUUCCUUGUGAGCAUUCAUUCCAUUCUUAAAAUGGACAUUUUAAACUAUUCACUCUGAUGCCAAAGAUACACUAUAAUUAAUAACAUUUUGUUUCUUUUUAUUGUUCAUAGUGAUAUAAUUUCUUAUUAAUGGUUUACUAUAAAUGUUAGUUUUACCAUGGCAUAAAUUUAAACAUUGUUUAGAUAACAGAAAAAAAAUACUCAUGUUUUGCUUAUAAUCUCUUGCUCAAAGCCUUAGAUAACGCAGAGUUGAGAGGUCACCGAAUCAAUGUUUAUUGAAUGUCCACUAUGUAAAGCAAUGGCUCUCAACUUUUUUUCUGUUUGAGAGGGUAUUUUGAACACCAGCUAUCUUGAAUGACAAACAGGAAGAGACUGAAUGUACCAUACAAGCUGGCAGUAAUUAUACUACAAUCUCAGAAUAAUGCCUCAAAGUGUCUAUACACGUACCUGGUCAUCAGCUGGUUCAAUUAAUUGCACUUUUGCACUGAAAGCUUGUUGGAUAAAUAAUAGUUACUUCUCUGACUAUGGUCUUCUGUACUCAAAAGCAAGGAUUAUUUUAUGUUAUAGUAAACAUUUGUAAUUCAGAGGUUCCCAAAUUACCUAAAGUUCUGAUAUCAAAGUUUUUAUAUCUAAAUAAAAGUUCCUCCUAUUUCACACUUUGGGGAUAACAGUUUCCUCCUUUCCUCUCCACCAGUAUUUUAUUCCACUUCCAAGAGCUUCACAUUUUCUUAGUUGUCAACACUGCAGCUGUUUUCUCACUGUUGUUUGACCCUGAAACAUUAUUUAUGGUUUUUAGGUUGGUUGUUUUCUAGUCAAAAGAACAGAAACUAGUCUAGAUGUCAGUAUUAGGCAGCUUGUGCUGCCAUAGCAAAAUGCCAAUGACUGUAUGAAUUAAACAAGAGAAAUUUGUUUUCUCAUAGUUUUAGAAGCUGUGUAGUCCAAGAUCAAGGUGCCACCUGACUCAGCUCCUUGCAAGGGCUCUCAUCCCGGCUUGCAGAUGGCCGUCUCCUUGCUAGUGAAGACUUCAACAAACACUUUUUCGGAAACCACAAGUCAGUCCCUGGCAUUCCACGGCUGCCCCCCACCCUGCCCAAAUGUACUUCCUUCUCACAUGCAAAAUACAGCAGCCCCCCCCCAUUUGCAUUUUUGCUUUCUGUAUUUUGGUUUCCCACAGACACUGGUGGUCUGAAAAUUUAUAUUAAAUGGAAAAUCUAGAAAUAAACAAUUUAUGUUUUAAAUUGCAUGUAGUCUGAGUAGUACGAUGAGAUCUCACGCCACCCCACUCUGUCCCCCUCGACGUGAACCAUCCCUUUGUCCAGGGUAUUUGCACUGUAUAUACCACCAGCCCUUUAAUCACUCAGUAGCCAUCUGGGUUAUUGGACUAACUCUCCGUAUCACAGGUGGGCUUAUGUCCACGUAACCUUAUGUUACUUCACAAUGGCCCCAAAGCACAAGGGUAGUUUACUCUUUACUCCAGUUUCUAAUAACCUGUCCCUCAUUUCUAAGACUUCACCAGAAUGACCAAGACUUCACCAACAUUCUGUUCAUGGCAGUCUAGGCUUUUUCUAGCAUCCACCUCAAAACUCCUCCAGUUUCUACCCACGACCCAACUCCAAAGUUGCUUCUCUACUGUUAGAUAUUUGUUACAGCAGCACCAUAUACUACUUGUUACCAAAAUCUGUAUCAGUUAAGAUUCUUCAGAGAAACACAUACAUACAUAUGCAUACAUAUUCAUAUACACAUGUAUGUAUGUAAAUGCUUUAUUAUCAGGAAUGGGCACAUAUGGUUAUGGAGGCUGUGAAGUUUCAAGAUCUAUAGUUAGCAAACUGGAGACCCAGGAAAACCAAUGGUGCAACUUUCAUUCUGAAAGCUGGCAGGUGCAAGACCCAAGAAGAGCUGAAAUUUCAGGUGGGGUCCAAAAUCAGAAAAAGACCAGUGUCCCAGCUCAGGGCAGUUAGGCAGGAAAAGUUUUUCCUACUUGUGGGAAGGUUAGACUUUUUGUUCUAUUCAGGCUGCAGCUGGAUGUAUAAGGCCCACCUGCCUUAAGGAGGACAAUCUGUUUGACUCUACUUAUUGAAAUACUCUACUUAUGCUACUUUCAUCCCCAAACACCCUCACAGAUACACCCAGGAUCAUGUCUGACCAAAUAUGUGGGCACUCUGGGACACAGUCAAGUUGUCACAUAAAAUUAACCAUCACAAUUUCUCAAAUAGAGGGAACUAAGUAUACGGAAUUGGUCACAGAAAUGUUAGCUAAACUAAAGGAAGAAAAACAGAAAGAUGGGUUUACCCAGGGAUGGACAAACAGAGAAAAUAGCAUUACAUGGACCCCAUGCCCCUGUGGUGCUGAGGCUGUUGGGGCGCUGUUGCAGCUACUGCUGUUGCAGUCAUGCUGCUCCCACCCCACAGGAAGCCAUGCACCUGGAUCCUACUGCAUCCACAGGAGCACAGAGGCUGAGAGAUACCCAUCAUUGCCGCCAGUGCUGCUGAAGCCAGAGCCCACAAGAACCAUGCUGUGGACUCUGUCGCUGAAACCAAUGCCUGGGCAGGAAUCCAGGAGCCCACGUUUGCCUGCUUGCUGCUGCUUCUGUCCACAAGUGUUUCCACAAGCAGGAGAAAAUGGUUUCUUCCCUUUCUACUCUUUCUCUAGUCUCUCACCUAAUGCCUGGCAUGGACCAUGGGCUGGACCUAAGUGUAAGCUCUCAGUCAAGAGAAUCUGGGAAACAUCAUUUGCAAACUUCCAAUCCAUUUGAUUCAAAGGAGAUAGGAGAGGGGCACAGAGCCAACAGCCACAUAACCAGAAUAGCUCCUAUGACUACUACACUUUUUUCAUACAAUUUGUCCCACGUGGGCCAUCAGCUCUGUCUUUAUUCUCCAAGCCUUGGUAAAAGAAAGUGGUUGUCUCUAGAAACCUUUUUAGGAAGGUUUUUAUAUAAUUGAAGAUUUGAAAACAUAGGUGAAAAAAAAGCUCAAGAUUAGGUACUAAUUAUGAUUGUUUCCACAAACCAAGGGAAAAAAUAAACACUUUCCUAGAAGUUUUCUGCCGCCCACACUCGAGGUUGUAGCCUUGCCUGUUUGCCCUGCUCAAGAUCUGUCCACCUCUCUCCAUCUCCUGCAGCCCUGUAUUUCCUCUUCUCCAAGUCACACCCCUCUGUCCCCACACCUGCCGCACAAUUACUCUGCUUCUUGGAAGACUGCAUACCAGUCUUUAUUUGACAGAGAAAUCUACCUUUCUUUGUUUUCUCACUCUUAACCAUCAAGGCGGUUUUUUUUGUUUGUUUGUUUGUUUGUUUUUCUUUCCUGAGCCUGCGGCAUGUAGAAGUUCCAGGUUCCAGGCCAGGGAUAGAAACUGUGCCAUAUCAGGGACCUGAGCCACUAUAGUGACAAUGCCAAAUCCUUAAUCCACUGCACCACAAGAGAACUCCUUCCAAUUAUUUCUUAAAAUAAAAUACCCAUCCACUAAAGCAAUGAAUUUUGCUACUCUGCUUUAGAUGUCAAAAUAGUUGCAGUCAUUUGUUGUCUUAAAGGAUCAUUUCUUAUUUCAGUUAUUCUGCUCUUUCUUUGAUGCAAUUUUGAUAAUAUCAAGUCUCUUCUUAUUUUGCAGCAAAUUAUACCUCGCCCUGUACUCUUUGCUGCAUCUACUCAAUUCCGUGUUUCACCUGCAGUCAUUGCAGUAACAAUAUGCAUCCUUAGUUAUAUAGUCAAAUAAAAUUUACACAUUGUUGAGAAGUUGGUGGUAUGUACUAUGAAGGUUUUCCACACACCAACUGGGAAGCUCUGAAGUAGGAGAUAAUUGCAAGUAUGGCUACAAAUACAAUGAAAAGACAAUAGUCCUUAGUUUCCAAGAGUUUCCAAUUCAUGUCAAGAAAAUAAUACCCCACAUAUAAAAAGUAAAAAAUAAAGUAAAACUCCUUAAUGGACCAUAAAGGAAAAAGAGAGAAAACAAAGAACCAUGGGAUUUUGGAAAGGGCUUUCGGAGACAGUGGCCCCUGAGCUGAAGCUUGGGGGAUGGGUUGGGGCAGACAAUGAGAGUGAGGGAAGGACAGUAUGGGUGGAAGGUUAUAAUGGGAGUGGAUGUGGGUGCAGAAAAAUGUGGACACGCUCAAGAAACACUGAGUAGUUGAUAUAAAAAAGUCUUGAAAUUCUAAAUGACCUACACGAAUUUUUCAUUCCUACUUUCAGGCCAUUUCUCCAUAGGGUUAACCAUCACUGCUUUACUGAUGCACAGCAAAUCUAGACACGUUGCUUUAUUCUCAUCUACUUCCUCCAGAUAUAUGAAGUGGAGGAUAAAACUACAAGCUCAUAUAAGGAAUAGAGACUCUUCUCAAAAUACCUGGCAAGCCCCUGGUGGAAAACCAGGUGCUGAACCAAACAGGGGUCCCCUGAGAGUCACCUGAGACUCUGGGUCAGGUUGAAGGGGAAAGUCCUAAGAUAUUUAAGACGGUUCACUUCUCUUUUGAGUUAGUAAUUAGUUCGUCUUAUCUUCCUCUGUUUGGACCUAUGAAUCUUCUCUACCUCUCUCUGCUGACUUCAGAUCUUCCCCAAAUAGGUUCCUUUCACCCAGCUUUCCUCUGUGUUCCUGGCCUUGUUUUCCUAUCUGACAGUUUGUUUGACUUCAGAUCCUGAUAUCCAUUACUCAUCUACAAUGCUGUUUCCAGAUGUAAUCCAGAAAUCUCGUGUAAAUUCACGAUUGCUUCUUUCCUUGGUAGUUCUCAGUGCUGGUUGCUACUAACCCUGCGGAAGGCAUUAGAAAUGGGAAGGCACAGUGGUGUCAGCGGUCACAGCAAUUGCAGGAUGCCACCAGAGUUUAGUCGGGGAGGGGAGGCAGGGGAGAUAGACGUUUAAUAAU
rnacentral:lncRNA from 1 species